rnacentral:lncRNA from 1 species
CUGCAUCAUCAGCCGCAGUUGGAUCGGGAUUCAUUUACUAUAAAAAAAAUCAUUUAAAAGGUCAGAAGUCGUCACACUAUCACAAUAUAUAUAUGGCAUGUAUAGCAAAACCCGUACAUACAACACAUUAGUCCGAGAACCGACUAAACCUACUCUGAUACCACAAAAUGUAACGCCCCCACGCCCGAGACCGUCGCCGGAGUCGAGCACGAGGCAUUACUAAACUUGUUUGAGCACUUAAACAAAUUCGGACAAGCUGUCCAACUGCGUCACAUUUACUUAAAAAUUCAUAUCUCGAGUUCCGAAACUCGAAAUCGAAUUCCGUAAAUUUUUCCUUAAACUAGACUCAUAUAUAUAUCUACUAAUUUUUUUUAUAGAAUUUUUGGUAGGGCCAAUUAGUACAGUUUAUUAGUUAAAGUCUCCCCUAUUUCAGGGUUUGACUGCUCUGACCUCUAUGUAUUACAAAUCAUAUAUCUCCCUGUACAGAGUUUCAAUAACUAUGCCGUUUGUUUCUCCUGAAACUAGACUCAAUAAGGAUUCUAAGAAUAUAAAAUACACCACCUAAUUAUUUUAGUACAAUUUAUGGUGAAUUUCUAAAGUCAGAAUAGGGGAUCCAGAAAUCACUCUGGCCCUGUUUCACAAAAAUUCAAAUAUCUCAUAAAAUAUAAUUCAUAUACCUGUUUUGUUCAAUCCAUAUGAAAAUAGACUCAUUAAGAUUAAAUUUUAUAACUUACUCAUCCUUUAAUUCCAUUUCUACCAUUUUUAGUGAUUUUUCAAAUUUACAUCACUGCUGCUGUCAGAUUCUGUUUUAUGACAGAUUUCACUUUACUAAGGAUUUUCAUGGACUAAAUAGCAUUUUAAACAUACAUAACAUCAAAUAUGGACUAAAUGGCCAUUCCAAUGGCUAAUCAUUUACAAACCCUUUUCUUUCCAAACCAUAGCCAUAUCAUAAGAUCAUUUACACAAAGUGAGUAUUUUGCCAUACAUGCCACAUUCAAAACACACAAGCCAUUUUACCAAUUUAGGCCUUCGGAUAGUGUGAACGAGUCUUCGACCUAUCCCAAUUCUCAAGCCGACUUGUUAAAACUACAAUGAACGAAAAGGAGGGAGUAAGCAUAAAUGCUUAGUAAGUUCAUAUGCAAAUAACAAGUAACAUAACCAUACAAUUAUACCAAACAACCUUAGCAUGGUAUCACCAAAACAUAUAUCACAUUUUUAAACAUCAUUCAUCAUCUUACCACCUUAUCGUUGUUGUAUCUAUUUUCAACCCGAGGGUUAAGUACAUACCUGUCCAAAGUGUCCAUUUCACAACACUUACCAAAACGUCACUUGCAUCUUAAGUAUUCUUCCAUUUCACUAGAAAUUUUACCCGUUGAACACAUCGGAAUAUAAUUCGGAUACAUGGAUAAUUUGCACAUAAGUGCCACAUUUGUAGCCAAGCUACCCUGUAACCCGCCCAUAAGUGAACUCGGACUCAACUCAACGAGCUCAGGCGUUUGCAUCCAUAAGUGAACUCAGACUCAACUCAACGAGUUCGGAUGCCUAGUUACAUCUCACGAACUCGGACUCAACUCAACGAGUUCGGACAUUCCACAUCCAUAAGUGAACUCGGACUCAACUCAACGAGUUCGGAUGCUCAACCAUCCUAGUGACAUGUCACUUGUAUCCUAAUCUAUUCCUAAGGUUCAAACGGGAUUUUCCUCGAACACGUCUCCUUGCCAUCUUCCGUAAAAUACCGAAACCAAUACUCGGUAGCACUUUAUAUUUAACAAAUAAUACACUUAAUUUGCAUUUUAUUCGAAAAUAACCACAAAGCAUAUAUUUCAUGAUAAGAAUCAGCAUAUCCUAUAUUUAACAUCAAUAAGUUAAAAAUAACAAUUAUGCUACAUUAUUUACACAUGAACUUACCUCGGUACAAAAUUUUUAACAAUCGAGCCUAUUCCUCGUAAACUUUGUUUUUCCCCCGAUCACGACUUGAAUCUCGUUUCUCUUGAUCUAUAAUACCAAAUUAAUCUUAUUUAAUACAUACAUUCAUUAAAACAGUCCUUAAUACGAACUUUGGCAAAAUUACCAUUUUACCCAUAAACUUUUUCAUAAUUACACUUUUGCCCCUAGGCUCGGGAAUUAAACUUCAUCCCUUAUUAUUAUGUUUUAUGACAUGCUGAUAAUUUUUCCCUUCUAUGGAAACAUCAAAUUCUCACUCUAACAUGUAUUUAUGACUACUAAAUAUUUUUUUUACCGAUUAAGCCUUUUUACUCGUUUUCACUCAAAACCGAGUAGCACAAGUUGUCUAACAAAAUUUAAAACCUCAUAUUUUGUCAUAAAACACCAAAAUACACAAAUUUUACCUAUGGGUAUUUUUCCAAAUAUGAACCAUAGGUUGAAUUAUUGUUAACAUAAGCUAAAUCGAGCUACCGGGAUUUCAAAAACAUAAAAAUCAUUAAAAACAGGGCUUGAAAUCACUUACUAUGAAGUUUGAAAGUUGAAGAAACCCCAGCUAUGGAGGAGAGCAAAAAUCGGCAG